UUUCCGUAGGUGAACCUGCGGAAGGAUCAUUACCAAUAACUGUUUUAUGCCACUUUUCAAACAACCCAUAUCCACCUUGUGUGCAACGUUAUGCGACCCUCCAUCGGUAUCUUUUAGGGUACGGAAGGGGGAACCUCUACAACUUACCAACAUCACCUUUAACUUAGUUCUCUGAACAUUUGUUACCACGAAUUAACUUUAUUAGAAGAUUAAACUUUCAACAACGGAUCUCUUGGUUCUC
rnacentral:misc_RNA from 1 species